rnacentral:rRNA from 1 species
CCUAAUACAUGCAAGUCGAGCGGACCGACGGGAGCUUGCUCCCUUAGUUCAGCGGCGGACGGGUGAGUAACACGUGGGUAACCUGCCUGUAAGACUGGGAUAACUCCGGGAAACCGGGGCUAAUACCGGAUGCUUGAUUGAACCGCAUGGUUCAAUCAUAAAAGGUGGCUUUUAGCUACCACUUACAGAUGGACCCGCGGCGCAUUAGCUAGUUGGUGAGGUAACGGCUCACCAAGGCGACGAUGCGUAGCCGACCUGAGAGGGUGAUCGGCCACACUGGGACUGAGACACGGCCCAGACUCCUACGGGAGGCAGCAGUAGGGAAUCUUCCGCAAUGGACGAAAGUCUGACGGAGCAACGCCGCGUGAGUGAUGAAGGUUUUCGGAUCGUAAAACUCUGUUGUUAGGGAAGAACAAGUACCGUUCGAAUAGGGCGGCACCUUGACGGUACCUAACCAGAAAGCCACGGCUAACUACGUGCCAGCAGCCGCGGUAAUACGUAGGUGGCAAGCGUUGUCCGGAAUUAUUGGGCGUAAAGCGCGCGCAGGCGGUUUCUUAAGUCUGAUGUGAAAGCCCCCGGCUCAACCGGGGAGGGUCAUUGGAAACUGGGGAACUUGAGUGCAGAAGAGGAGAGUGGAAUUCCACGUGUAGCGGUGAAAUCCGUAGAGAUGUGGAGGAACACCAGUGGCGAAGGCGACUCUCUGGUCUGUAACUGACGCUGAGG